GACGAACGCUGGCGGCGUGCCUAAUACAUGCAAGUUGAGCGCUGAAGGUUGGUACUUGUACCGACUGGAUGAGCAGCGAACGGGUGAGUAACGCGUGGGGAAUCUGCCUUUGAGCGGGGGACAACAUUUGGAGACGAAUGCUAAUACCGCAUAAAAACUUUAAACACAAGUUUUAAGUUUGAAAGAUGCAAAUGCAUCACUCAAAGAUGAUCCCGCGUUGUAUUAGCUAGUUGGUGAGGUAAAGGCUCACCAAGGCGAUGAUACAUAGCCGACCUGAGAGGGUGAUCGGCCACAUUGGGACUGAGACACGGCCCAAACUCCUACGGGAGGCAGCAGUAGGGAAUCUUCGGCAAUGGACGAAAGUCUGACCGAGCAACGCCGCGUGAGUGAAGAAGGUUUUCGGACCGUAAAACUCUGUUGGUAGAGAAGAACGUUGGUGAGAGUGGAAAGCUCAUCAAGUGACGGUAACUACCCAGAAAGGGACGGCUAACUACGUGCCAGCCGCCGCCGUAA
rnacentral:rRNA from 1 species